AUUGAACGCUGGCGGCAUGCUUUACACAUGCAAGUCGAACGGUAACAGGCCGCAAGGUGCUGACGAGUGGCGAACGGGUGAGUAAUGCAUCGGAACGUGCCCAGUCGUGGGGGAUAACUACUCGAAAGAGUAGCUAAUACCGCAUACGACCUAUGGAUGAAAGCGGGGGACCGUAAGGCCUCGCGCGAUUGGAGCGGCCGAUGUCAGAUUAGGUAGUUGGUGGGGUAAAGGCUCACCAAGCCAACGAUCUGUAGCUGGUCUGAGAGGACAACCAGCCACACUGGGACUGAGACACGGCCCAGACUCCUACGGGAGGCAGCAGUGGGGAAUUUUGGACAAUGGGCGCAAGCCCGAUCCAGCAAUGCCGCGUGCAGGAAGAAGGCCUUCGGGUUGUAAACUGCUUUUGUACGGAACGAAACGGCUCUGGUUAAUACCCGGGGCUAAUGACGGUACCGUAAGAAUAAGCACCGGCUAACUACGUG
rnacentral:rRNA from 1 species